rnacentral:rRNA from 1 species
GACAGAGGGUGCAAACGUUGUUCGGAAUUACUGGGCGUAAAGCGCGUGUAGGCGGUCUCGCAAGUCGGAUGUGAAAGCCCAGGGCUCAACCCUGGAAGUGCACUCGAUACUGCGAGGCUAGAGUCCCGGAGAGGAUGGUGGAACUCUCGGUGUAGAGGUGAAAUUCGUAGAUAUCGAGAAGAACACCGGUGGCGAAGGCGGCUUACUGGUCCGGAACUGACGCUGAGGUGCGAAAGCGUGGGGAGCAAACAGG